rnacentral:rRNA from 1 species
UACGUAGGGCGCAAGCGUUGUCCGGAAUUAUUGGGCGUAAAGAGCUCGUAGGCGGUUUGUCGCGUCUGCCGUGAAAACCCGAGGCUUAACCUCGGGCUGGCGGUGGAUACGGGCAGACUAGAGGUAGGUGAGGGGAGAAUGGAAUUCCCCGGUGUAGCGGUGAAAUGCGCAGAUAUCGGGAAGAACACCCGUGGCGAAGGCGGCUCUCUGGGACGGUACUGACGCUGAGACGCGAAAG